GUGGGGAAUCUUAGACAAUGGGGGAAACCCUGAUCUAGCCAUGCCGCGUGAGCGAUGAAGGCCUUAGGGUUGUAAAGCUCUUUCAGCUGGGAAGAUAAUGACGGUACCAGCAGAAGAAGCCCCGGCUAACUCCGUGCCAGCAGCCGCGGUAAUACGGAGGGGGCUAGCGUUGUUCGGAAUUACUGGGCGUAAAGCGCACGUAGGCGGAUCAGAAAGUCAGAGGUGAAAUCCCAGGGCUCAACCUUGGAACUGCCUUUGCAACUCCUGGUCUUGAGGUCGAGAGAGGUGAGUGGAAUUCCGAGUGUAGAGGUGAAAUUCGUAGAUAUUCGGAGGAACACCAGUGGCGAAGGCGGCUCACUGGCUCGAUACUGACGCUGAGGUGCGAAAGCGUGGGGAGCAAACAGGAUUAGAUACCCGGGUAGUCC
rnacentral:rRNA from 1 species